rnacentral:lncRNA from 1 species
AUUGUGUGCCGCACUAUGGGACUCCCAAUCACAGCCAGAUGUCAUACAGCCUGGAUUUGAACCAGGAGUUCCAGAUGUGGCUGCAGGAGAGUAGUGGCAGAGAACACUGCAGGGCAUUUUCUCUGAGCAAUGAUAUGAAAUGUAGGACAUGUACAAACUGGUGCGAACGUGGUGAAGGCCGCUCAAAUUAACAAAUGGACCCGACUGCAAUGUUUUGGACAUCGUCUGCACUUGGCCAAUGAGAGAGUAGGUAGAGACAAAUGGGUGGAUCGAGCAAUUGGAGUGUGUAAGAAAGUGGUAGGUGCCUUUUCCUAUUGGUGGAAAAAGAAGAGGGACCUGGCAGUUGUUCAAAAAGAACACAACCUACCCCAGGGCAAGUUGGUGACAGAGUCGCCUACAAGGUGGGGAUCACGUCAAAAGAUGGUGCAAAGAGUAAUGGAGCAGGAGAAAGCCAUUUCACAGGUCAUGUCCAGUGACAAGAAGACCCGGCACUUACCUCCCACCUAUACAGAUAUAGAUGUUCUUGAGUCCAUCAACCAGGCAUUGACCCCACUCCUAGUCUUAUGUCAGUGUGUCUUACCUGAAGCCAGUACUACACCUGUUCAAUACAGAGGUCAUGAAACCUGAUGAUGGUGAAACAGAGCUCACCCAAACCAUCAAAACGGUAGUCAUGGACUAUCUGAAUGAGAAAUAUGAUGACCUAGCCACAGAUGACCUCCUGGACACAGCAUCGUUAGUCGACCCUGGGUUAAAACACAUUACAUCAAAGAGGAGAAGGUGGGCCACAUAAAAGCAAGAGCUGUCUCAGAGAUGGUCAGUGACGGAGAUGAAAACCCAAGCCCAGCACAGGGAGACGUUGCUGCUGCUGCUUCACCACAAAUGCCAGCUAAAAAGAGAAAGUCACUGGGCAGUUUUUUCAAAAAACCAUGCUCCACCACCACAGGUCUUACUGAAAUCCAGCUGGUAGAAAAGGGACUCAGCUGCUACCUUCAGUCUCCUGAUGCUGACGGUGAAACCAAUCCACUGGACUGGCGGAAGAUCCACCCAAAAAACUUUCCCGAAGUCAGCCACCUGGCAAAGCGCUACCUGUGCAUUCCUGCGACCAGCUCCCCCUCAGAGUGUGUUUUUAGCACAGGUGGCAACAUAGUGACCUGCCAUAGGGCAGCUUUAAAGCCGGAGACAGUAGACAGACUUGUCUUUCUUGCUUGUAACUUGUAAGACAACAACGACUGGCUGAUGUUUUGGUCACUUUUGAAUGCUGGCGGUGCUUUCACUCUAGUGGUAGCAUGAGACGGAGUCUACAACCCACACAAGUGGCUCAGGUAGUGCAGCUCAUCCAGG